AGAGUUUGAUCCUGGCUCAGGACGAACGCUGGCGGUGCGCCUUAUGCAUGCAAGUCGAGCGAAGCUUUUCAGUAGUUUACUACAGAAAAUGACUGAGCGGCGAACGGGUGAGUAACGCGUGAGCAAUCUACCUUAGUUACAGGGAUAGCCCGAGGAAACUCGGAUUAAUACCUGAUAUUCUUUACAUUUCGCAUGAAAUCAAAAGGAAAGGUCAGCCGAACUAAGAUGAGCUCGCGUUCUAUCAGCUAGUUGGUGAGGUAAUAGCUCACCAAGGCAACGACGGAUAGCUGGUCUGAGAGGACGAUCAGCCACACUGGGACUGAGACACGGCCCAGACUCCUACGGGAGGCUGCAGCAGGGAAUAUUGCGCAAUGAGCGAAAGCUUGACGCAGCGACACCGCGUGUGGGAUGACGGAUCUAGGUUUGUAAACCACUUUCAGGAGGGAAGAAAAUGACGGUACCUCCACAAGAAGCCCCGGCCAACUACGUGCCAGCAGCCGCGGUAAUACGUAGGGGGCGAGCGUUGUCCGGAUUUAUUGGGCGUAAAGAGCUCGUAGGCGGUUCAACAAGUCGGUCGUAAAAGUUCAGGGCUCAACCCUGAAAUGUCGAUCGAUACUGUUGUGACUAGGAUACGGUAGAGGUGAGUGGAAUUCCGAGUGUAGCGGUGAAAUGCGUAGAUAUUCGGAGGAACACCAAUUGCGAAGGCAGCUCACUGGGCCGCUAUCGACGCUGAGGAGCGAAAGCUAGGGGAGCAAACAGGAUUAGAUACCCUGGUAGUCCUAGCUGUAAACGAUGGAUACUAGACGUAGGAACUGGAUUGACGGUUUCUGUGUCGUAGCUAACGCGUUAAGUAUCCCGCCUGGGGAGUACGGUCGCAAGACUAAAACUCAAAGGAAUUGACGGGACCCCGCACAAGCGGCGGAGCAUGCGGCUUAAUUCGAUGAUACCCGUAGAACCUUACCUGGACUUGACAUAUAGGGUCUAGCUAUAGAGAUAUAGUGUGCAUUAGCGCCCUAUACAGGUGGUGCAUGGCUGUCGUCAGCUCGUGUCGUGAGAUGUUGGGU
rnacentral:rRNA from 1 species